rnacentral:rRNA from 1 species
GUGAGGAAUAUUGCGCAAUGGAGGCAACUCUGACGCAGCCAUGCCGCGUGCAGGAAGAAGGCGCUACGCGUUGUAAACUGCUUUUAACCGGGAAGAAACCCCAGGACGUGUCCUGGGUUGACGGUACCGGAGGAAUAAGCACCGGCUAACUUCGUGCCAGCAGCCGCGGUAAUACGAAGGGUGCAAGCGUUAUCCGGAUUCAUUGGGUUUAAAGGGUGCGUAGGCGGAGCGUUAAGUCAGUGGUGAAAUCCUGCAGCGUAACUGUAGACUUGCCAUUGAUACUGGCGCUCUUGAGUGCGCUUGAAGUGGGCGGAAUGUGCCGUGUAGCGGUGAAAUGCUUGGAUAUGGCACAGAACACCAAUUGCGAAGGCAGCUCACUAAGGCGAUACUGACGCUGAGGCACGAAAGCGUGGGGAUCGAACAGGAUUAGAAACCCCUGUAGUCC